GACGAACGCUGGCGGCGUGCUUAACACAUGCAAGUCGAACGGAAAGGCCCCUUUGGGGGUACUCGAGUGGCGAACGGGUGAGUAACACGGGAGUAACCUGCCCUUGACUUCGGGGUAACUUCAGGCAACUGGGGCUAAUACCGGAUAGGAAUCCUUGCUGCAUGGUGGGGGUUGGAAAGCUUCGGGGGUUUUGGCUGGACUCGCGGCUUAUCAGCUUGUUGGUGGGGUAGUGGCUUACCAAGGCCUUGACGGGUAGCCGGCCUGAGAGGGCGACCGGCCACACUGGGACUGAGAUACGGCCCAGGCUCCUACGGGAGGCAGCAGUGGGGAAUAUUGCACAAUGGGCGGAGGCCUGAUGCAGCAACGCCGCGUGCGGGAUGACGGCCUUCGGGUUGUAAACCGCUUUCAGCAGGGGCGAAGCUUGUGGUGACGGUACCUGCAGAAGAAGCACCGGCUAACUACGUG
rnacentral:rRNA from 1 species